UUCCCUGCCUAGACUCUCCACUGAGGGGUUUGGCACCAGCACCCCGCCCAGAGCAGCGCCGCUGCCCAAAUCCUCGCUGCAAUUGCAACUCCGGCUGGAGCCCUGGACCUGCACGCCUGGGUGUCCGUGGGUCCGUCUGCCCGGCCAUCUGCUGGUGGCACCACUCCCUCCUGCUGCCUCCCCUGCUGAACCCCACCUUGCAGAAGUGCAGCUCGCCCCAGCAGCCCAGGAGCGCAGCAUGCGUCCCCCAGGCUUCAGCAACUUCUUUCUGCUGGCGUCCUCCCUUCUCUUUGCUGGGCUGUCAGCUGUUCCUCAAAGCUUCUCGCCAUCUCUGAGGAGCUGGCCGGGCGCCGCCUGCAGGCUGUCCCGGGCCGAGUCCGAGCGCCGCUGCCGCGCACCUGGGCAGCCGCCGGGGGCCGCGCUGUGCCACGGCCGGGGCCGCUGCGACUGCGGCGUCUGCAUCUGCCACGUGACCGAGCCGGGCAUGUUCUUCGGGCCCCUGUGUGAGUGCCACGAGUGGGUGUGCGAGACCUACGACGGGAGCACCUGUGCAGGCCAUGGUAAGUGUAACUGUGGCAAGUGCAAGUGUGACCAGGGAUGGUAUGGAGACGCUUGCCAGUACCCAACUAAUUGUGACCUGACAAAGAAGAAAAGUAACCAAAUGUGCAAGAAUUCACAAGACAUCAUCUGCUCUAAUGCAGGUACAUGUCACUGUGGCAGGUGUAAGUGUGAUAAUUCAGAUGGAAGUGGACUUGUGUAUGGUAAAUUUUGCGAGUGUGAUGAUAGAGAAUGCAUAGAUGAUGAAACGGAAGAAAUAUGUGGAGGCCAUGGGAAGUGUUACUGUGGAAACUGCUACUGCAAGGCUGGUUGGCAUGGAGAUAAAUGUGAAUUCCAGUGCGAUAUCACCCCCUGGGAAAGCAAGCGAAGAUGCACAUCUCCAGAUGGCAAAAUCUGCAGUAACAGAGGGACUUGUGUGUGUGGUGAAUGUUCCUGCCACGAUGUUGAUCCUACUGGGGACUGGGGAGAUAUUCACGGGGACACCUGUGAGUGUGAUGAAAGGGACUGUAGAGCUGUCUAUGACCGAUAUUCUGAUGACUUCUGUUCAGGUCACGGGCAGUGUAACUGCGGAAGAUGUGACUGCAAAGCAGGCUGGCAUGGGAAGAAAUGUGAGCACCCACAGUCAUGCAUGCUGUCGGCUGAGGAGAGCCUCAGGAGGUGCCAGGGAAGCUCUGAUCUGCCUUGCUCUGGGAGGGGUAAAUGUGAAUGUGGCAAAUGUACCUGCUACCCUCCAGGAGAUCAUCGUGUGUAUGGCAAGACUUGUGAGUGCGAUGAUCGCCGCUGUGAAGACCUCGAUGGUGUGGUCUGUGGAGGCCACGGCACAUGUUCCUGUGGUCGCUGCGUUUGUGAGAGAGGAUGGUUUGGGAGGCUCUGCCAACAUCCGCGGAAGUGUAACAUGACGGAAGAACAAAGCAAGAAUCUGUGUGAAUCAGCAGAUGGCAUAUUGUGCUCGGGGAAGGGUUCUUGUCAUUGUGGAAAGUGCAUUUGUUCUGCUGAAGAAUGGUAUAUUUCUGGGGAAUUCUGUGACUGUGAUGACAGAGACUGCGACAAACAUGAUGGUCUCAUUUGUACAGGAAACGGAAUAUGUAGCUGUGGAAACUGUGAAUGCUGGGAUGGAUGGAAUGGAAAUGCAUGUGAAAUCUGGCUUGGCUCAGAAUAUCCUUAACAAUUACAUGAGAGAGGAUACCUUUCUGGAAACCUGGGUUCAUGCAAAGAAUCAAGAAAAGAAAUAUUGUGAUAAAAUAGCACCAAUCUCAGAGGCUCACAAAAGGACCAAAAAAAAAAAAAUCUAGAAAUGGCUUAAAUAGAAAUUACAAAUAUUCACUCAGUGAUAGGAACAAAAAUUUUUAUUUUCUUAAUGGUGAAACUUUGCUUUGUAUGAAAUUCACAUUGAAUUAUGAAAAUGUACAAUAAUUGGGACUUCCUUUAUAUAUUUACAGGUAAAUCUACUUAUACACAUUAGGCAACCUUUAGUUAUUUAGAGCUUAAAAAAAAACCACUUUUUUUUCUAAAGGUGAGUUAUUUUGUAAAAUCCUAUAAUAAUGUAGCAAAAUCAUUUCUAUAUUAUUUUAAGAUGAAAAUUUUUACUUGGAAAUUUUAUUUUAAUGAUGUAAGUAUUCUAGAAUCAUGGUUUGAAUUUUAUAAGUCAAAUUACCAAAAAUAAGGAAAAUAUGCAUCCACUGAGUUACUUAAAAAUUUAAUAUUGAAAAUUAUUUUAAGAGAACAUUUAACUGAUGCUGAUUUUUCUAGUACUAAUAAUGUUCUCAUAAUGUAAUACAUUUAUAAAAUUGUUAUCUCUAUCCUGAGAUUAAGGAAUGCAACCAUGUUGUAGUUCUAUUAUUAAGUAAAUUGAUAUCUCUCUUUUGUAAAAUGAGGGAAAUAUAGGUAGUCAAUAAAUAAUGUAGGUUAUAUUCUUUCUUCUUCACUACCUAAACAUUUUAAGCUGCAAACAACCUAUUAUUAUUGUUCUGUAGCAAUUUUGAUGACAUAUUUGCUAAUGCACAGACAUUGGAAUCCAUUACAUUAUCUAGCCAUCCUAAUACAAAUGAGCUUUGGAUUCUCUUAUCCCAGGGUUUAUCCUCCUGUUAAGGACCAGAAAGUUAAACUUUACAGACCACAUAUAUCCCUGUCUCAUAGUCUUCUUUGUUUCUUUUUACCACUUUAAAGCUGUAAAAAAAAAAUAAUUCCUUCUGAGUUCCCAGGCCAUACAAAAACAGAUUAAGGGUGGAUUUGGCUGGCAGCUGAACAGUACUUUGUCAGCCUCAGCUCCACUGGAACUGCCCUUGAUUCUCUAUGGCUCAUCACAAAACCUCAGACGCACUUGUGCUUUUACUUGGCGUCACCCCGGGCUUCGGGACUGUUUCCCCAACAUCAUGCAAAGAUGGUUCUCGGUACAUGGCAACUAAUGAUGGGAAGAAAGGAGGAGGAAAAGGAAACAGUGCUUGGUUAGGUGCAGGAAUGGUCCAUCUGUACAUGCACAGACCACUGCAGUUUGCCCACUUCUGUUUUCCCUGAGAAUCAUCACCAUCACAACAACGAAAUCAACAACAGAUGAGUUCCAGCAGAAGCUUGAAUAUUAAUUUGCACCGCUGCUGAACUAAAUCAUCAAGUCAUAGGAGAGAAAAAUGCAAUAAUUAAACAGAAACGUUAUAUCUUU